UACGAGGGGUGCAAGCGUUGCUCGGAAUUAUUGGGCGUAAAGGGUAGGUAGGUGGUCUCAUUUGUCUGGGGUGAAAGCCUUGAGCUUAACUCAAGAAGUGCCCCGGAAACGGUGAGACUCGAGUACUGGAGAGGGUCGUGGAAUUCCCGGUGUAGCGGUGAAAUGCGUAGAGAUCGGGAGGAACACCGAUGGCGAAGGCAGCCUCCUGGGCCAGCACUGACGCUCAUGCACGAAAGCGUGGGGAGCAAACAGG
rnacentral:rRNA from 1 species